AUGCCGCCCAAGCUCGACCCGUCGCAGGUGGUGGAGGUCUACGUCCGGGUGACCGGAGGCGAGGUCGGCGCGGCGUCUUCGCUCGCCCCCAAGAUCGGGCCCCUCGGUCUCUCCCCCAAGAAGAUCGGUGAGGACAUCGCCAAGGAGACGGCCAAGGACUGGAAGGGCCUCCGCGUCACCGUCAAGCUCACCGUCCAGAACCGUCAGGCCAAGGUCUCCGUCGUCCCUUCCGCCGCGGCGCUCGUCAUCAAGUCCCUCAAGGAGCCCGAGAGGGACAGGAAGAAGGUGAAGAACAUCAAGCACAACGGCAACAUCAGCCUCGACGACGUCAUCGAGAUCGCCAAGAUCAUGAAGCCCAGGUCCAUGGCCAAGGAGAUGGCCGGGACUGUCAAGGAGAUCCUCGGCACCUGCGUCAGCGUUGGCUGCACCGUCGACGGGAAGGACCCCAAGGACCUGCAGACGGAGAUCGACGACGGCGAGGUCGAGAUCCCCUCCGCUUAA
rnacentral:rRNA from 1 species